AUUUGGUAAUGCCAACAUCAGUCAUUUUCACUGUAUUGUGGGAUUGAUUGUGAAUAUAUUGUAUCUCUGCAUCAGCUUUGGGAUGUCUGUGUCUGCUGCUUGCAGAUGGAUUUCCAGGUACAGUAUAUUUUGUGGGUGACGAUUUCAUUUGAUGUAAUCCUGUUGUGCUAACCUAAAUGUUGUUCUUUAGUUUCUCAGGAUGAAUCUCCAAAGAUAUUUGGGCCACGUUACGUCAAAAUAAAAGCUCAUCCAGGCGAGCAACUGUUUCUUUACUGUGAAGCGUUUGCGAACUCUAAAGAUGCGACGCUCAUCUACUGGCUCGUCAAUGGCUCUUUCCCCGAAGACCUGCUGUGCAGUGGCAGAAUAGUAGAAUCAGAGGAAUCGACUUUAGAUAAUGGUACGAUCCUACAGAGGAGUUUGAUGUUGAAAAAUGUCACGUCAGAGGACUUAAAAUCCAACUUCACCUGCGUUGUGACGAACGCCGCUGGAAUGACCCAAAAGAACAUACUGCUGGUGGCAAGAGGAAAAAGGAGAAAACAUUUCAUGUCACGGCAGUAAAAAGUGGAAUGAUAUGAGCCACGUUUCACUUGCCCACAAACUCAUAUUUACUUAAGAGUCAAAUGUAUCUUCAAAUUUAAUAUUCUGUUAUAUUGUGUGAUGGGAGAGCGAUGUUGGAUGAAGAAAUGUACAACACUUGAGAUCCAUUUGGUUCCAGAGUAGUACAAAAUGUUUCUCUGAUGGUUUCCCAUCAAUGAUACCAGAAGUGUAAAAAGUGACUCAUUGGGAUCCUCUGGGAAGGAAGAACUUUGAGGUGAACGCAAACACAAACUGGAGUAUAUUGUUAUGUCCCCUAAUAUAUAUUUGAUGCAGCUUCCGAGGAAACAUUUAAUGUGGAACUGAAAGACCCCUAAAUUACUGUCUUUUAGAUGACUCUACCACACAGUGCUACUGACCGCAGAAUACAUAUAGAAUAUUGUAACAUUUAAUUUCUCUGCUAUUUUCUAUGUUUGUGUAUCAUUCCAG
rnacentral:lncRNA from 1 species